rfam:Ophiostoma piceae TAMH 11346 chromosome Tnknown scf03, whole genome shotgun sequence.
GCCCCCGUGGCUCAAUGGUAGAGCGUUGCACUCGUAAUGCAAAGGUUCGCGGUUCGAUUCCGCGCGUGGGCA